rnacentral:lncRNA from 1 species
CAGAGUUGGGUUUUUAAUGAUAAUUUAAAUAAACUUAAAAAAGUGUUAGCUUUUCCCCUUCUCUUUCAAUAUAGUGGUAAUUUUUGUAUUGCUAUAUUAAUGAUAUUGGUAAAAUACUGGUUUUCUAUACAAGUUAGUAACCUGGAGUUCCUCUUAAAAUAACUUGUUUAAGUAAAAACAUGAGUGCAUUUAAACUGUCAAUUGAACAGUAAAUCAUACUAGUGUCACACAGAUAUUUCAAUAUUUUGAACAUGGUUUAGGAAGACAUUUGAGAAACACAGAGGUAUCAGAAAGAAUCCUGUCCUGAGGUCAACAGCCUUAGACCUUAUUAUUAGGCAAGAGCUUUUAAGCUUUUAAGCAAGUCUUUUAUUUCUCUAUGCCCAUUUCUUUAUUCUUAAAAUACAAUAAUAAUAAUUUAUCCUAAAAAGUACUUUCUAUUUAUUUCCCUAAGAGGCUCAUUCCAAGUGAUUUUCAUCAGAACAAUGUUUUUCUUUUUUUUUUCUUUUUUUUUUUGCUAGAACAACUCAGCAAAAUAAAAUUCCUGUUUAUUGUUGGACAACAUUGUUUCACACAUACAUCAAACAGGCCAAAAAAUAAAAAUAAACAGCAACUUCAUAGACAAAAAAGGAAAAAAAAGAAACCUUUUAUCUUUGGCCUUUUUAACCAUCUCAUACAAACCAACUACUUAUAGUACAGCUAAGUACAUACACAAAAAAGUUACUGGAAUGCUCGGAAUAAGAUGGUUUUUCUGUUGUCAUUUUUGCAUUUUUUACAAGUUUUUUUUUUCUCCUUUGAGAUUAUAAUGAACAUGGCCACACCACAAGUAAAGUGAGAAGUAGGACAGAGAACGCUCCGAAGGCUGGUUUGGUCAUCCGAGAUCAUUAAAAAUGGCCGACCCUAACAAUAUGUACAAAAAUAUAAAAUGUAAAUAAAAAAUACAAGUUUCCUUUUUAAACUACUUUUAAGAAAAAAAAAAAGCAGGGCCUUGGAAGUUUUGGUUCUUUUUCCCUCCCCUGUUGCAAAUUCUCAUGGUUUGGGUUGGGUGGUGGAGAGCGCGUGUCAUCUGCGGGUGGCACUGCCCACGGUGGGCGGGCGGGCCCCUCUACUCGAAGGUGACCACGUUUAGAUUCUGAGACGGGAAGUGGAGGGUGAAUAGGUCACGGCGGCCUUUUUUUUUUAGUUUAACUUUUCCUUUUUUGCCGUCUGGUCAUCCUCGUCGGUCUUCUGCUUCUGGGUAUCGACAUCGUUAUCCUCAUCAUCUUCAGCUGCCCGCUUGCCCGUAGCUGACUCAGCUCCCUCAUCUUCAUCUCCAUCCUCUUCCUCACCAUCACCUUCUUCCUCCCCACCUUCUUCCUCUUCUUCAUCUACCUCGUUGUCAGCCUCCGGCUCCCCAUUUUCCUCAUUAGCAUUCCCGUGAGCAGGGGCGUCUCUUCCAUUUUCCGCCUCUUCCACAACUUCCUUCUUCUCCUUUAAGUCCUCGGUGGUGAUUUCGGAGCUGGUGUCUACGGCUGCGUCUGACAUGGUGGGGCACGCCGGUGACGCGAUGCAGGGGAUAAAAAAGAAAGCGACAGUUCAGGGACUCUGGCGAUAAAGCUGCCGGAGUCCGCGGCGGCGGAGGCGGCUGCGGCGAGCAAGGAGGCUGACGACGCACAAUGCAAAGACGGCUUUUCAGAGCAGCCAGUGGGGCAGGACAAUGUUUUUCAUCAAAUGUCCUUAGAUUUGGAGGAGGUUUCCCCAGUGUAUCCAGUGGUUGUCUUCCUCUUGAUUAAUAUUAAAGGAGGAGAAAAAGUGUGUAUUGGGGUCAGUGCAGAAAACAAAUCAUCCAAGCACACGAAGUGGAAUUUGCUAAUAGCAUUACUACUCACCCAGUGACUUCGGAGUCACAACCCAGGACACGGUUUUCCGCCCAUUUCUACAGACACAGUGAGAUUCUUCAUUCUUCUCUGUUGGAACAGCCAGGAAAGCGGAAGAGACCUCCAGCUGCACAACGACCUGUCCCCCACACCCAACCACAAGUUUAUGAAGGGAUGCAGAACAGCAUGAAUACUGCAAAAGAUGCUCUGUGCAUCAGACAAAUAAAUCACACCUUUACCUCCUAUUAUGCUGAUACGCAAUCCUCGUGGUAGACACAAAGUUGGCUUAUGGAUUUUUGAGUUGGUAAAAAUAUCUAAUCCUAUGGACUGAAAAAAAUUGUUAAAGCAUAGCGGCAAUCCAAUCUUGAGACUGUAAGUAGUUUCUUGAAUUUGUAUUGUACUUUCACUAUUAUGUUACAUAUAGUUCAUACGCUCAUCAUGAAAAUUACACAAAAUGAGGAGAGCUAUUUAUAAAUAUGAAAACAGAGUCAUAGACGGUCAAGUUCAUUAAGCUAUUGAGUGAAUAGGAGUGGGAAUUCAAACCCGUUUCUGAUUCUUAUUUCUAAAUAUUGUCUGGUAUAAUCUAAUGCUCUUUAACUCUUUUUUGCAUCCAUAAAACUGAAUAUUUUAGACUUAGAUGUUUUCUUCUCUUCUUUUUCCCCAUGAAACAAAUAUCUAUGUCUGUGUAUGCAUAUAAACAGCUCUCCUUAUGGCUUUAUUACAAAGAGCAUUUUUUUGCUUGUUUCUUGUCAUUUUAAAUUGAAGGUUUGCAUAUCGGAGGUUGUUCUUUACAAUCUUAGUAAACUCUGUUUUGUUUAUGUUUUACCAGAAGAUAUGGCUUUUCCUGAAUAUCUAUGCUUAACUCGUUCCUGUGGUC